rnacentral:rRNA from 1 species
UACGAAGGGUGCAAGCGUUAAUCGGAAUUACUGGGCGUAAAGGGUGCGUAGGCGGUUGUUUAAGUCUGUCGUGAAAUCCCCGGGCUCAACCUGGGAAUGGCGAUGGAUACUGGACAGCUAGAGUGUGUCAGAGGAUGGUGGAAUUCCCGGUGUAGCGGUGAAAAUGCGUAGAGAUCGGGAGGAACAUCAGUGGCGAAGGCGGCCAUCUGGGACAACACUGACGCUGAAGCACGAAAAGCGUGGGGGAGCAAACAGG